rnacentral:rRNA from 1 species
AUUGAACGCUGGCGGCAGGCCUAACACAUGCAAGUCGAGCGGAUGAAGGGAGCUUGCUCCUGGAUUCAGCGGCGGACGGGUGAGUAAUGCCUAGGAAUCUGCCUGGUAGUGGGGGAUAACGUCCGGAAACGGGCGCUAAUACCGCAUACGUCCUGAGGGAGAAAGUGGGGGAUCUUCGGACCUCACGCUAUCAGAUGAGCCUAGGUCGGCUUAGCUAGUUGGGGGGGUAAAGGCCUACCAAGGCGACGAUCCGUAACUGGUCUGAGAGGAUGAUCAGUCACACUGGAACUGAGACACGGUCCAGACUCCGACGGGAGGCAGCAGUGGGGAAUAUUGGACAAUGGGCGAAAGCCUGAUCCAGCCAUGCCGCGUGUGUGAAGAAGGUCUUCGGAUUGUAAAGCACUUUAAGUUGGGAGGAAGGGCAGUAAGUUAAGACCUUGCUGUUUGGACGUUACCAACAGAAUAAGCACCGGCUAACUUCGU